rnacentral:rRNA from 1 species
UACGUAGGGUGCGAGCGUUGUCCGGAAUUACUGGGCGUAAAGAGCUCGUAGGUGGUUUGUCGCGUUUGUUCGUGAAAACCGGGGGCUUAACCCUCGGCGUGCGGGCGAUACGGGCAGACUGGAGUACUGCAGGGGAGACUGGAAUUCCUGGUGUAGCGGUGGAAUGCGCAGAUAUCAGGAGGAACACCGGUGGCGAAGGCGGGUCUCUGGGCAGUAACUGACGCUGAGGAGCGAAAGCGUGGGGAGCGAACAGG